rnacentral:rRNA from 1 species
AGUGAACGCUGGCGGUAGGCCUAACGCAUGCAAGUCGAACGGCAGCACAGUAAGAGCUUGCUCUUACGGGUGGCGAGUGGCGGACGGGUGAGGAAUACAUCGGAAUCUACUUUUUCGUGGGGGAUAACGUAGGGAAACUUACGCUAAUACCGCAUCCGACCUACGGGUGAAAGCAGGGGAUCUUCGGACCUUGCGCGAUUGAAUGAGCCGAUGUCGGAUUAGCUAGUUGGCGGGGUAAAGGCCCACCAAGGCGACGAUCCGUAGCUGGUCUGAGAGGAUGAUCGGCCACACUGGAACUGAGACACGGUCCAGACUCCUACGGGAGGCAGCAGUGGGGAAUAGUGGACAAUGGGCGCAAGCCUGAUCCAGCCAUACCGCGUGGGUGAAGAAGGCCUUCGGGUUGUAAAGCCCUUUUGUUGGGAAAGAAAAGCAGCAGGUUAAUACCCCGCUGUUCUGACGGUACCCAAAGAAUAAGCACCGGCUAACUUCGUG